AUCCGGUACAUAAUCAAAAGCUACAUAAUAAAAGGGCAAUACUUAAACAUUUAAAUGCAGGUCUUCCCCUUGCGCCUUCAUCUUGGGUAAUCUGGGACAGCCUCUCUUAGUUCACCAUGGCCCUGCUUGCUGCGUUGUCCUCUCCAAAGAGAGAGAGAAAGAAGAGAGAGCCUUCCUUGGUUGUUGUCCUUUUAAAGACUGAUUCUUGGAGUAAUAAACUACAAGUCCCAGAAUCCCUUUUCCCUCCCAAAAGUGGUUUAUCCCGCCCUCUUUCUCCAGAGAGUUCUGUCUUUACACAAGUCUUUCCCUUUGAUCUCUUCCCUCCAGCUAUACU